rnacentral:lncRNA from 15 species
AGCCGGAGACGCUGGACUGCUGAGAGCCGCCUCAUUGUGUCGUUUGGACCCGGACUGGACGCACCGUCUCUCUCUCUGUCCGUCGGUGUCUCUCUCUCUCGCGGUGGAUUUAUACCUGAACGGGGCUCCGCUGCUCCCGGACGAGGAUUUUCCUGCCGGUUUCGGUCCCCGUUUAUUUGGGAAUAACCAGGAGCUGUUGUGGAUUAAUGUGGACUGUGUGUUCGGAUCCCGGUUCUCCUCUUCUUCUGAUCCGGAGGAUGUGGACUCAGAAAGCAGAUUUAUAAACAGAGGACUUAAUCCAGACCAGAGCAACAUUUGGACUUCUUCGCCUUCUCUUCCUGGAUUUGGACAUUUCUCCCUCACUGAUUGGCUCUCCUGUGCAGCUGCCUGUGAUUGGACAGUCCUGAAUUCAAGUAAGGAGUUUCUGCAUGUUGGCGUUUUAAACGCUGGAAGCCUUUCUGACUGUCAGCCAGCUGAAGCUUCACUGCGGCUCCUUUAUUCAUCAGAAAAACUGCAAACAGUUGAGAAUCUGUGGGGUCGUCUGCAGGUAACAACAACUUUAUCUUUAUAA